UCUGUCCCUCCAGUGUCUCCACAGGCCCAAGUCCUCCCCAUCUGUUCCCAAAGGAAAUCCACGCUUCCCUUUCAACGUUUCCAUUUUCACUUUCAAACCUCAGUCAUGGUUUGUUCAGGACUCCCGGUUUCUCAGCACGUCUCCCCCUUCAGCUUCCCUGCAGGAGGACUUGGGAAGGGAGACGUGUUGUUGUUCUUACUGCUGUUUUCCAAGACUUCUCAGUUCUUCUUGGAACAGCAGAGUCCGCCCUGAUGUUUGGACACCUUUGCCCUAGGAGUCCUAGACGUUUUGUUCUCUGUUAUAUUAGCAGCUAACAUCCAGGGAGCCGUCCCCACGAACCCAGCCUGGUGCGAAGUGCUGUACAUGCGAUGCCUUCAAUUUCCCAACGACCCUGUGAUGUGGAGAACACUGCAGGUCCUACACCUGUCCUGUGGCACAACCCAGAAACUCACCAGUGAUCCUUGGCACCGCCCUCCACGCCUCCAUCCUCCACCCACUGCAGCCCAUGGCCAGUCCAGCUGCAACCCAAGGAGAAGCAUUCCCCAGAAGGGCUUUGCUGAAAUUCCAGAAUCAAUCAGGCCAAUAAUUCUUUACUUCUCUGUUUUCCUUAGAGCAGCAGUUCUCAAGCUGUGGGUUGGGAACCCUUUGGCGGUCAAAUGACCCUUUCACAGGGGUCGCCUAAGACCAUCCUGCAUAUCAGAUAUUUACAUGACGAUUCAUAACAGUAGCAACAUUACAGUUAUGAAGUAGCAAUGAAAAUAAUUUUAUGGUUGGGUCACAACAUGAGGAACUGUAUUUAAAGGGCCAGAAGGUUGAGAACCACUGCCUUAGAACAACUGUGCUCCCCUCAUCUGCUUCUUUCUUGAAGUGGAGACAAUCUCCCUCAUCUCCUUGCAAAUGAGGUGACAUCUGAGCAGAUUCUGAUGGAAUCUGUCCAGAGGGCUGGACGCCCUGCUGUGCUGAGCGAAGAUGCCAGUGAUUCCCUUAGGGAGGCCCCUGAAGGCUGGAGGCCUCUGUAAGGGCAGACGUCCUGGGCCUUGUCUGAUUUCUGGUCCCAUGAACUAGGGCGACAGUGAGUGAUAAAGCCUGGUAGUGGACUCUUGGUUAGUCACGGACCAACUCCACUCUUGAACCGAGAUCAUGCAGCAUGGGGCACCGGUUCCCAAACUUGGCUGAUCAUCAGAAUCACCUGGAAGCUUUUAAAUGUUAAGAUACAGCUUCCCAGGUCCCGCCCCAGACCUAGCAAAUCUGAAUCUUCUCAUGGACAGAAGUGCGAGCUUAGCCCUUCCACCUGGGGCCACAUCUCGGUUCCUCCCCCAACUCCCCACGCCUGGACCAGUCAGGCCACCUCCCAUCUGUGUACCCAGGACAACACUUAACUGGCUGCUGGUGGGGACCCCAGGCGAUGCUUGUGAAAGUGUCACAUUCACUGGCAGCCGUCUGAUUAAAAUAAUGAUGAAUAAAUACUAGCCAUUGUAUUUGAA